GAUCAUGCUCAGGAUGAACGCUGGCGGCGUGCCUAACACAUGCAAGUCGAGCGAAGCGGUUUUAAGGAAGUUUUCGGAUGGAAUUAAAACUGACUGAGCGGCGGACGGGUGAGUAACGCGUGGGUAACCUGCCUCAUACAGGGGGAUAACAGUUAGAAAUGGCUGCUAAUACCGCAUAAGCACACAGCUUCGCAUGGAGCAGUGUGAAAAACUCCGGUGGUAUGAGAUGGACCCGCG
rnacentral:rRNA from 1 species